rnacentral:sRNA from 1 species
AUCCCCUGCCUGCAGCACGUGCUGAUCUCCAAGGGUGAGGCUGGAUGAAGCCAGGGGCUAUGGAAAGGGAGACUGUUUCAGAGGACUUGACACCAUCUUCAGUAAUUUCUCUGGUUCUUGGCAGCUCCAUUUGGCUGCGUCCCUACCCUGCAUAACCCUCCCAGCUAGUCUACUCCAGGGCAGCGUCCAGCUGGUGACCUGAGAGGGCAGUGGCGCACCAGUCUCCAUGAAGGUUGAGCUCCGAUGGCCAACGGCCAUUUCCACCUUGUGGUCUACAACUCUUCAUCCCGACUGCAUGGAGGUUGGUCUCUCUCUUCAGCUGGAUUUAGGCCACCAUCUGAGCCCCCGGGGUACGUUUUGUCUGACCCUGGCGCCAUUCGAACGGUUCUUCUACAGCAUCAGGUGACACCCCUGCUCCCCAUUCACCCUCCGCUAUCAGUAAAAGCUUCCUCAGACCUCACCAGAAGCUGGACAGAUAGAUGCUGGUGCCAAGCUUGUACAGACUGCAGAACCAUGGGCCAAAUAAACCUCUUUUCUUUAUAAAUUGCUCAGCCUCAGGGGUCCCUUUAUAGCAAUGUGAGAAUAGACUAACACAGCAACCCAGAAGUUUGUGGAGUGAAAUCUAAAGCAGUGCUUUUAAAAGUGAGAUCCUAGGACCAGCACCACCUGUACCACAUGCAUCACCUGGGAACCUGUUAGAAAAGCAAAGCCUCAGGCUCCAUCCCAGACCACCUCAGGCAGAAGCUCUGGGGGUGGGGUCCAGGAAUCUGAGAUUUAACAAGCUCUCCAGGUGAUGCUGAUGCAUGUUCAGUUUGAAAACAAUGGACCCAGAGAGCCUCUAAAGUGCAACCUGCCCUGACAAUUUUAGUCCAAAAUCUUGCAUGGGUAAUUUAAUCUCUACAUCCU